GAUGAACGCUAGCGGGAGGCCUAACACAUGCAAGCCGAGCGGUAUUUGUCCUUCGGGACAGAGAGAGCGGCGUACGGGUGCGGAACACGUGUGCAACCUGCCUUUAUCAAGAGGAUAGCCUUUCGAAAGGAAGAUUAAUACUCUAUAAUAUAUUGAUUGGCAUCAGUUAAUAUUGAAAGUUACGGCGGAUAAAGAUGGGCACGCGCAAGAUUAGCUAGUUGGUGAGGUAACGGCUCACCAAGGCGAUGAUCUUUAGGGGGCCUGAGAGGGUGAUCCCCCACACUGGUACUGAGACACGGACCAGACUCCUACGGGAGGCAGCAGUGAGGAAUAUUGGUCAAUGGGUGCAAGCCUGAACCAGCCAUCCCGCGUGAAGGACGACUGCCCUAUGGGUUGUAAACUUCUUUUGUAUAGGGAUAAACCUCUCCUCGUGAGGAGAGCUGAAGGUACUAUACGAAUAAGCACCGGCUAACUCCGUGCCAGCCGCCGCGGUAA
rnacentral:rRNA from 1 species